rnacentral:rRNA from 1 species
AUUGAACGCUGGCGGCAUGCCUAACACAUGCAAGUCGAACGGCAGCACGACCUAGCUUGCUAGGUUGGUGGCGAGUGGCGCACGGGUGAGUAAUGCGUAGGAAUAUACCUUAAAGUGGGGGACAACCUGGGGAAACUCAGGCUAAUACCGCAUGCGCUCUAAGGAGGAAAGCUGGGGACCUUUCGGGGCCUGGCGCUUUACGAAUAGCUUACGUCCGAUUAGUUAGUUGGUGGGGUAAAGGCUUACCAAGACGAUGAUCGGUAGCCGGUCUGAGAGGAUGGUCGUGCAAGCGGGGACUGAGAAACGGCCCAUACUCCUACGGGAGGCAGCAUUGGGGAAUAUUGGACAAUGGGGGAAACCCUGAUCCAGCGAUGCCGCGUGUGGGAAGAAGGCCGGCGGGUUGUAAAGCACUUUCGGUGGGGAGGAGGACUUAUAGGUUAAGAGCUAAUGAGUUGGACGUUACCCACAUAAGAAGCACCGGCUAACUCCGUGCCAGCCGCCGCGGUAA